UGAGGAAUAUUGGACAAUGGGCGCAAGCCUGAUCCAGCCAUGCCGCGUGCAGGACGACGCAUCUAUGGUGUGUAAACUGCUUUUGCACAGGAAGAAACAUCCCGACGUGUCGGGACUUGACGGUACUGUGAGAAUAAGGAUCGGCUAACUCCGUG
rnacentral:rRNA from 1 species